rnacentral:rRNA from 1 species
AAAGCGUGCGCAGGCGGCUUUGCAAGACAGAUGUGAAAUCCCCGGGCUCAACCUGGGAACUGCAUUUGUGACUGCAAGGCUAGAGUACGGUAGAGGGGGAUGGAAUUCCGCGUGUAGCAGUGAAAUGCGUAGAUAUGCGGAGGAACACCAAUGGCGAAGGCAAUCCCCUGGACCUGUACUGACGCUCAUGCACGAAAGCGUGGGGAGCAAACAGGAUUAGAUACCCGUGU